rnacentral:rRNA from 1 species
UACGUAGGCAGCAAGCGUUGUUCGGAGUUACUGGGCGUAAAGGGUGCGUAGGCGGGUUUUUAAGUCAGGGGUGAAAUCCCGAGGCUCAACCUCGGAACUGCCUUUGAUACUGGAAAUCUUGAGUCUGGGAGAGGUGAGUGGAACUGCGAGUGUAGAGGUGAAAUUCGUAGAUAUUCGCAAGAACACCGGUGGCGAAGGCGGCUCACUGGCCCGGAACUGACGCUGAGGCACGAAAGCGUGGGGAGCAAACAGG